rnacentral:lncRNA from 1 species
UUCCAUAUCUUGCGUUAUGAAAUACAGUAUACUACAUUAUAUUUCAUCCUACAAUCACUAGUACACAUACAAUGUCAAUGAUCCCAAGUGUCAAAUAGAUAAGUUGCAUACUAGAAUAUAACAAACAUGAAAUUUACCAAGUUCAUUGCCAUGGAUUCCCCUCCCUACCAUCACUAUGAUCCUAUUCCUGCCAUCAUCAACACUCACACCUUGUUGAACUCUCAAGCUUAUCAACAACCAACCUACUGCAACACUCCACCAUCACAAUCGAGCCAAUACAUUUUGCCACCAUCCAUACCAUACAUCAACAACCAUAUCUCACCACCACACUCAUACCCAAAUUUCAUUGCCAAUAAUUCCCCUCACUACCUUCCUCGUCACAUUGAUUCUGUUACGCAAUUUAUUUCACCGUUCCCAAAGAGCUUGCAUCCAAGCCAUUUCCAAUCUUGUCUCUGACAUUUCAACAAUCAACAAAUACCACACACCUCCGUCCACCUACAACAACAACAACAUCACUACCUCACCAUCACCAAUUUGGGGCUCCCAGAGAGUUUGCAACUCACUACAGAGAGCGUUUACUCCAUUUCUGAGACUGUCAGCAACUCGCGAAGAGGUGACGCGUGAGCGUAACGCAGAACCACAUGAAAUUGUUAUUGACGGAAACGAUUUUUCCAACAUUUCCGAUUCAAUCUCUGAAAUUAUGCACAAUCUCUGAAAAGGUAUUUGUUGUUGAGACCUUCAAUUCUGAUCUCGUUCCUGACUCUGUUCAAGAGCGAAAGCAACACGUCACUGAGGCAUGUAAAGAUCCGAACCAGUCACGUCUAGAACUCAAUAGUUCUAACAUCGUCUUUUCCGGCGCAACAUUAAUAUAGUCAAAGUCGAAAUCUCCAACGCAAUGGAUUGUUG